rnacentral:lncRNA from 1 species
AGCCUGAACUUUCUCAUCCAACACCCGUUCAAGUCGGAGGAUGCUGAUUAAUUCAUGAUGGAAAGCUCUUCUUGGACUAAAAGGCCCUCAGCAUUCCUGUCAAUUUCUACACUCCUGAAGCUUCAUCUGGAGACCUCUGUGGAUUCUAUAACUCAAAGACCCAGGCUGACGGCUGGUGGAAUAGCUACCAUCUCAAACAUGGCGUGAUGCUGCAUCAGAGAGAAAAAUAAGCUCUUGCAUUGACAAUGAAAUGUCUACCCUGUAGUGACUUGUGCUUACUUCCACUCACAAGUGAUUGCCCAGAGCUACUUACCUGGCUCCAAUCUACCACUGGGUGUGUACUUGCAAUCUACCAUGUACCUAGAAGAUGAGAGAAACAAAUUAUUAAUGAUGACCAC